rnacentral:rRNA from 1 species
AAGUCCCGCAACGAGCGCAACCCUUAUCCUUGUUUGCCAGCGAGUAAUGUCGGGAACUCCAGGGAGACUGCCGGUGAUAAACCGGAGGAAGGUGGGGACGACGUCAAGUCAUCAUGGCCCUUACGAGUAGGGCUACACACGUGCUACAAUGGCGCAUACAGAGGGCAGCCAACUUGCGAAAGUGAGCGAAUCCCAAAAAGUGCGUCGUAGUCCGGAUUGGAGUCUGCAACUCGACUCCAUGAAGUCGGAAUCGCUAGUAAUCGUGGAUCAGAAUGCCACGGUGAAUACGUUCCCGGGCCUUGUACACACCGCCCGUCACACCAUGGGAGUGGGCUGCAAAAGAAGUAGGUAGUUUAACCUUCGGGGGGACGCUUACCACUUUGUGGUUCAUGACUGGGGUGAAGUCGUAACAAGGUAGCGCUAGGGGAACCUGGCGCUGGAUCACCUCCUUAAACGAUGAU